GACGAACGCUGGCGGCGUGCUUAACACAUGCAAGUCGAACGAUGAUGCUGGAGCUUGCUCCAGUUGAUUAGUGGCGAACGGGUGAGUAACACGUGAGCAAUCUGCCCUUGACUCUGGGAUAACUGCGGGAAACUGUAGCUAAUACCGGAUACUUUCACCGGAAGGCAUCUUUUGGUGAUGAAAGAAUUUCGGUCAGGGAUGAGCUCGCGGCCUAUCAGCUUGUUGGUGAGGUAACGGCUCACCAAGGCGACGACGGGUAACCGGCCUGAGAGGGUGACCGGUCACACUGGGACUGGGACACGGCCCAGACUCCUACGGGAGGCAGCAGUGGGGAAUAUUGCACAAUGGGCGCAAGCCUGAUGCAGCAACGCCGCGUGAGGGACGAAGGCCUUCGGGUUGUAAACCUCUUUUAGCAGGGAAGAAGCGAAAGUGACGGUACCUGCAGAAAAAGCACCGGCUAACUACGUGCCAGCAGCCGCCGUAA
rnacentral:rRNA from 1 species